rnacentral:rRNA from 1 species
UACGGGGGGGGCAAGCGUUGUUCGGAAUUACUGGGCGUAAAGGGCUCGUAGGCGGCCAACUAAGUCGGAUGUGAAAUCCCCAGGCUCAACUUGGGAACUGCAUCCGAUACUGGAUGGCUUGAAUCCGGGAGAGGGAUGCAGAAUUCCAGGUGUAGCGGUGAAAUGCGCAGAUAUCGGGAGGAACACCAAUGGCGAAGGCAGCUCGCUGGGACGUGACUGACGCUGAGACGCGAAAGCGUGGGGAGCAAACAGG